rnacentral:rRNA from 1 species
UACAUAGGGUGCAAGCGUUGUCCGGAAUUAUUGGGCGUAAAGAGCUUGUAGGCGGUUUGUCGCGUCUGCUGUGAAAUUUCGGGGCUCAACCCCGAACUUGCAGUGGGUACGGGCAGACUAGAGUGUGGUAGGGGAGACUGGAAUUCCUGGUGUAGCGGUGAAAUGCGCAGAUAUCAGGAAGAACACCCGUGGCGAAGGCGGCUCUCUGGGACGGUACUGACGCUGAGACGCGAAAGCGUGGGGAGCGAACAGG